UUCAUUCUCUUCUCAGGGUUGCACUACAUUGAGCAUGUAGUGAGAGCAGUACUAUUAAUACCUGCACAAUAUGCCUGCAUCAAUUAGAGCUUUGCUUUACCUUAGUUCAAUUUUUGGAAAA
rnacentral:ncRNA from 1 species